AACCAUAAACGAUCGUUUUGUCUGUGGAGUCAUGUAGUGUUUGCACGAGCCUAAUUCGGACUUGGCAACCCCGUCGGCCUAUCUGUCACUCAAGAUGUCGGAAAGGAAGGGAGAUCUUCUUUUUGUUCGAUUCGAGCCGGGAUCGGCUAUACCCUUUGAGAUCGGGCUCCAUCGCCCAUUUGACCCCGGCAUAACAUGCUAACCUUAAAUUUGUUGCUGCGUUGAAGAGCGAUACAUCGCGUGCCCCGGGUGUUGACAUAAGCUGCAUAAUUUCCAUGCAAGCCUUUUAUCCACAAACGGGGUUCAUGGCGGGGCGC